rnacentral:rRNA from 1 species
CCCUGCCAUUUGUACACACCGCCCGUCGCUACUACCGAUUGGAAGUUUUAGUGAGGCAUUUGGACCUGCCUACCAAUGGAAGGGCAACCGACCUGGUCUGGCGGGGAAGUCUGUCGAACUCAAAUUUCUAGAGGAAGUAAAAGUCGUAACAAG